CCUACGGGAGGCAGCAGUGGGGAAUAUUGCACAAUGGGCGAAAGCCUGAUGCAGCCAUGCCGCGUGUGUGAAGAAGGCCUUCGGGUUGUAAAGCACUUUCAGCGAGGAGGAAAGGUUAGUAGUUAAUAACUGCUAGCUGUGACGUUACUCGCAGAAGAAGCACCGGCUAACUUCGUGCCAGCAGCCGCGGUAAU
rnacentral:rRNA from 1 species